rnacentral:rRNA from 1 species
AGCGAACGCUGGCGGCAGGCCUAACACAUGCAAGUCGAACGGAUCCUUCGGGAUUAGUGGCGGACGGGUGAGUAACACGUGGGAACGUGCCCUUUGGUUCGGAACAACUCAGGGAAACUUGAGCUAAUACCGGAUGUGCCCUUCGGGGGAAAGAUUUAUCGCCAUUGGAGCGGCCCGCGUCUGAUUAGCUAGUUGGUGAGGUAAAGGCUCACCAAGGCGACGAUCAGUAGCCGGUCUGUGAGGAUGAUCAGCCACAUUGGGACUGAGACACGGCCCAAACUCCUACGGGAGGCAGAAGUGGGGAAUCUUGCGCAAUGGGCGAAAGCCUGACGCAGCCAUGCCGCGUGAAUGAUGAAGGUCUUAGGAUUGUAAAAUUCUUUCACCGGGGACGAUAAUGACGGUACCCGGAGAAGAAGCCCCGGCUAACUUCGUGCCAGCAGCCGCCGUAA